CAUUUUGUGAGCGAUCGGAGCUCGGCCGGUGCUCGCGGGCUGCCUUUCCUGGACCUUGGCAGCUCCUUGCUGACUGGAAGGACCAGGAUUUUCAGUGUGGCAUAGGAUAGGCUGACACCUCACAGCCAAAAAUGACAUCGUUGCCUGUGAAAUUCUGGACAUCUUGGGGUGGCAUAGAAAUCACAGGAGCUGCAAAGACCCAACAGUAUUGCUUUAGGAGACCGUGAGCGAAAGCCAACACAAAAGGAUGUAACACCAGCCCUUGUUUUAGAUGAAAGGUGCCCAGAGUAAUAAUGUAAAGAAUGAGAGCAGCACAUGAGCAGGAGGCAGUAUUCCCUCUUACAGCCUGACAAGUCCUUUCACUAACAGUCACCACGGAGGGGCAUUUAUUCACUAAAUGUACCACCAUGGUCAGAAAAAGGAAGAAACUCAAAGCUGCAAAGAGCAGGAAGUCAAUCUGCAGGAGCUGCAACGGAGAAAUGUGCAACUCCUGGAGAAAGCUGAUAGGUGCUGAAAGUCGUCCCGAAACCCUUUCACUGCAAGAGGUUGCAAGAGGUCCUAGGAGGUGGGAGACCUGACAGCUGACAGUAGCCUCAGGUGAGUUCCUAAAUAACUGACUGCCCCUCAGAUGCUGUCUCUCUGGAGCUUCACAAGGGGUUUAAAGGAGAUUUAGUUUUUGUCUCAGAGUGGCGGGAAUGCAUGUGCCAGAAGCCAUAUUUCUGGAAAGGAGAAUUCCUCUAUGUCCACUGUCUGAGUAAACUGACAAACAAAAAUAAAGCAGAAAAUCACAUGGGUAAGGCUCUAAACAAAAACAUACAUGAUUACAGCAGAAUUUAAUUAUUGUCAGAUCUUUCAUAGAGAUGUUGAAGUUUAUAAAUUCCCUCACCUUCAUAGAUGGACACAUUCUCCUGCCCCAUGUAGGCAUGUGUGCACCACACAUUCAAGAUAACUGGAUGCAUAGAAAGGAGAGCAGCCUUGGCUACUAGCUAAUUUUAAAAGAACUCAACCUUUUAAGCUGGGGCAUGCUAUUGAAAGCUUAAAGCAUGCUCACCACUCUACACAAGCAUUACAGACUGUUCUUUGAAUAGUGAAAUGCACAGAGCCAACGUACCACCAAAGUAGGGCCUGAGGUAUUUGUUGUAUCCCAUUGUGAGGUUCUUAAAUCCAGGGAGGGAUGCUGCAUCACUGCCACCCAAACUGGACACACGUCCAAGUGAGCAUUUCCUGAGGACACAAAUAAUGUACUGCUAAGUAUGUGGCCAGGCAUGCUGGGCACAUCAGGGGUGCAGCUGCAUCCCCAGCCUGUGCUCAAAGAAGCAAAUUACUUAAAAUAGUUAUUUGAAAAAGUACAUCAUUGAAAUAAUGAACACUUACUGACACUGCUUACCUUGGCUGAAUAAUUAAUACCUUAGAGAGGUGGGAAUACAGCAAAUAGCCUGAACAAAUAAUCUCAGGUUUCCAGACAGUGGCUUAAGGACAUUCUUAAAAGGCAAAUCAAGCAAGGGCAAUAUAUCACAAAGCUUAAUAGUAACCUGUAAUCUCCCCUUCUCAUUCCUCCUCGUAAAAUGUAUACAAGGAACCUUUUUCCUCCUACAUACAAUAACCCAGGACAACUCUUACUGCCCAACAGCUCCUCCUUCUUAAUUAUCAUUCCCAUAAGCAAGCUUUCAUCCUUAUUUGUUAGCAUCGGGCAGCAUCCCAACAGCUGCCAGAGUAAAGCCUCUAAGAAUGCCAAGAAGUGGAGAGGUAAAACAGCGAGCUCUUCACAGACAGCAAGGCAGCACCGUGAGCAGGACUACCACUCCAAAUUACCACUACAUAUCAAAAUUAACAUUUUCUGUACUGAAGAUACAGCAGAUAUGUGGCACUGUGAGGUUCCCAGAGCUGUGCCAUCCUGUAAAUAGAAAGCUACAGAGUUUGGGGGCCAUAAAAAAGGUGCCAUGGUGCAGUGUGCUUGUGGAGGCAUGUGUUCACUUGAUGAAAAAGUGAGUGAGCCAUUAUGAGUUUGAUACUGCUCUGUGAAGGGCUGAAGGAGGUGCUGCCUCUCUCCAGAGACUCAGGACUGCUGGCCUGUCCUUUAAAGCUGGGUUAAUAGUCCUUGGACGCUUGCUGAAGAUUUUAGAUCAAAAAGAAGCUUACAGCAGAACUGAGCAGUUAUUGUGCAGCAUUAGCUAUAUUAGAGCCUUUAGAACUUGACUGCAGUCAGGGAUGGCAGUAACAGCUGGAAGAAAUGGGGUGGAAGAGGACAGUGAGCAAAACCACCACAAUUUCCUGCUCUUGAACAGAGAAAAAGAGCUUGCAUUAUCAAUGUACAUUAUAUUUUGGGAACCUGUGCAGGUUGCUCCCUCUGCCUGACCCCUUAAUGCACCCAACUUCCUAUGAGUGAGCUGUAAAACUGGAAGCAUUGUUUCCUUUUGAUCCACAUUACUUAUGUUAAUCAGAAUUCAGAUGACCUGUAAAGCAAAACAAACGCUCUACUUGCCUUUGUGUUUGAAGGAAAAGACACAGACUGAAGAAGCAGAAAUAUCUGCAGAACAUCUCCGGAGAUUAUUUCAGUAUUUGCUCUGCUCUUCUGUGAAAGAAAAGGAGAUUUUUGUGAUUUAAGGAAAACUAUUUGCUUAGGAACAUGAUUUUGUGGAGGGCUGUUAGAGUUAGGGGUAGUAUGGUUGGGUUGCGGUUGGACUUGAUGACCUUUAAGGUCUUUUCCAACCUGAGCAAUUCUAUGAUUCUAUUUUAGGUGAAGGGGCUGAAAAAGAAGUGCUGCACAGAGUCAGAAUCCCACACAGCAAUGUUUAACAUCCUCAACACACAGUGACACCUGUUUUUUCCUUCUAGCUCAAAUCAUUUUUCAGCACCAUGCUAUGUUUGCACUUUCCUCAUAAAAGAUACUCCGUUCCAAAAGUCCUUUUGCAAGCUCACCAGACUUUGGUUACCACUGUUGCACUCCAUUAGCUUGUACCUGAAGCAGCCCAUGCUAUUAGUAGUAGUAGCAUUGGUGAGUCACUCAGCAUGCAGCACUGGAUGAAAUCAUUCUACUUCAAAUGGGUUUCGUUGACCUUUCUGGGAGUGGAACCAACUCCUGGAUUCUGGCCUGGAACUCCCACAGGCUCAUGAUGGUGCCACAAUGGGCAACUCUGUCCAUGCUCUGCAUCCCUGCUCUCUGCCUGAAAGGCUGCAUCAACUGCACACCUUUAUUGGGGGUAUGGAUAACUGCCACACAACUGUGUGCUCUCACAGCAAGCUGCUGCUGCAACAGGAAGGCACAUGAAGGCACAGCUGCCAAGGGGGAACUGCCACUGACCAUCACUAGUUUGAGCUGGAAAUACAACACUGCUUGACCACUAGACUGUUCAAAGUGUACCUCAAUGUAUCAGUUUUCCUACAGGUAGUGGCAAAGCAACAUCAUUCUUAGAUGUAAGUUUUCCUGUCCGUCAGACUGUCACAAAUUGGGAAUGGCUGUACGAAUCAUCAGUCCCUGAGCCCUGACUUGCACAACUGUGAAUGAGCACUUCAACUUCAAACGUGGCUACUCCAUAGUAACCCACCGGUUAGGAAUUUUCCUGCUUGGGUCAGAGCCUUUCUGCAGUAGCUCAACACAGCCCAGAGGACACUGUGCCUUCUCAGGUAACUGUACAGCUCUGGUGCAGUGGAACAGUCGUGCUCCAGGCAGCAGGGACAUCUUUGUCUAUACACAGCCAGUGAUAAUACCUGAACGUUCAAAGCACCACGAAUGCAGGGCCAGACAACAAGAAUCCCACUGGAGAAAGGCAGGAUAUAUUUCAAAGUAAAAUAUGCUCUCAUAUCUGCCUAACAUCUGAAUUCCCAACAAGUGUUUGCGCUUUUUGUCCUAACAUGGUGUUCAGAUGUUUCCAGAUGUUCCCAACAGCUCCUCAGUACCAUGUAAUCAUAGAGGGCUAGAGAGAUUAAUCAUCUACCUGUUCACACAGCAUUAGACCACAAUUUUGAUGAGAAAAGAAGGAUCAGUGCAGUAAAGUAAGAAAGGGUGAUUUAACAAACCAGCAUGUGAUUAAGUAUAAAAACUGAUAAAUUUCAGCUGAGGAACCCUUCAUGGACAACCCUCAUGAGCAUCCAUUUUGCAAAGGAGUUGCAAUUCCUAGCAUUUUGGUGCAUCCGUUUCUGAAUUUCAUUCUGUCUGUCUAUCCCAGUUACUGAGACCUUGUUUUGAAAAAAAACAAGUCAAAUUCUAUUUGUUUUGAUGACUAAUGCACAGAGGCCUCUUAUGUAGUAAAAAGCAUUCCUGUAAAGCCUUGUUUAUGGCUCUUGUUAACUGAAAUGCACACUGCAACGUGUGUUACUUCUAUCUAGCGAAGACAGUAGAUUGAAACAAACCAAACCAACCUGGAUAAAUCUCUAACUGCUGCUUCCACAAACCCGAAUGAACUCCACAGUCCUGUUUUCCUCCUUCCAAACACGGCUGUGAAGACAAGUAUAUCAAGAGUUGGGAAGCAGUGAUCUGUUAGUAUCCAAGAGAGCUAGAAACUCAAUGUGCCAGAGCACUCACAAGGCCAGAAAAGGGUGACAUCUGUGCCUAAAACUGAAUAUCACAAAAGCAGUUUUCAGCUAUGUACUGAAAUAUAGAGAGAGAAGUGCCAAAACUGUGAGACUAUGCUUUUUGUGGAAGCCUAAGAAUUAUACUGUAUCAGGAAGCAGAACUACAAUUCUGCUUUUAUAGUUCAGAAGCUUUCAUCAGAGAUUACUAACUUCAUUACUACAGUAUGCUGGGAAGGAACAGUUUUAAGAUUGUGCAUUUAUGCUUCUCUAUUUAGUAAAGGAUUACAAUGGACUUUUAACAGAAAAAGAAACUUAGACACUGUUUAAUCUUGACAUUUUGUAUGUAAUAGCACAGCACAGGCAAUACCAGUAGUUGUGAAAGCUUUGCUUCCAGCACCAAUGUUACCUAAAAUCAUUUAUUGCAUAUGUUUAUUGCAUAUGCUCAGAAAUAAAGAAAGCCUUGAGAACUUAACAGCUCACCCAGCUCCAUGCUCUUCCUACUGACAGGGAAUUAUUCAAAGAUGCAAGUAUUACAGCAAAACAUGCAAGCAGACUCCUCAGGAGUUAAGCCUCCAUCUGCUUCCAUAGAAGAUCAUGAAAUAAUGCUUAUUUACACCAGCCAAGACCAUAUGUAUAAGCCUCCACUAUUACUCAGUUCUAUGUUCCUUAAUUCUAGCGCAUCCCUUUAAUCUGGAAGGGCUGGUAAGAGUGAAAACCCAAAAGGAGAAAUAUGAUAGUAGAGAGGUGUACACUGACACCUGGUGGAGCCCGGAUAGCUUUGCACUGCCGUCAGCAUCACCCACAGCAAUCCACUCCUCAUCAAGCAGAUACACAGCAAGGGAAACAGAAAGCUCUACAGGCCCACACUACCUCCCACUUCACAGGUGAAAGCCCCAUCUGUGCCUCACUGCACAGAGCAGAAGAUCAGCACAUUCUCUGAUGUUCUCAGGGCAAAUGACAUCCCAAAGCCAGGCAGAAGGAGCUGUUGCAAGAAUCUGAAAAACCAGCUAUAAGAGCAGACCCACAGGAGGAGUCAGUGAGCUGCAGGCAGUAAUAGUGGCUGAGGGAAUUGGGAUGGAAAGCAUCAUGACACCCUCACUGGAGUUUCCAGCUUCGUGACGCUGCACCAUCCCAUGCCGAGCUUUCUUUGGCCACCUCUGUGAUUGCAGUUGCUAAAUACAAUUACAAAUCCAUGAAAGAAGAAGAGCAUUGUGGAUUUUGGGAUCAAACUUAACAGGCUCUGUAGAAGCCAAGAUAUUACAUCCAGGUGAGCAAGUUUAUUUACAAGAGGUUUGAGUGACUGAAGCCUAACAAUCUGCCUUUAAAAAAAAAAUAGUACUUCUUCCCCUGCCCACUCUGAAUUAUGGGCAGCUGUCUGAUCUUGGAUAAUUAGUCUGGGGAUGUGGGUGGGAAGGGAAUUUUGUAUGGAAGGGUUCAUGGCACAACCUGCUCUUGGCAUAGCUGCAGCCAACAAGCUGUAUAUUUUGAUGAUUAUGACAGCUGUUCAAAUUUUAAUUUACUGGCCAGACAAGUCAUGAAAGUUUUAUUUUCAGUUCAUUCAAAAUGAUUUGCCUGUCAAGUACCUCAAAUUUAGAGUUAACUUGAAAUUAUUUCUUUUUUCUUUUUUUUUUUUUUAAUGUUGCCCAGAGAUGAGGUGGAUGCCCUGGCCUUGGAGACACUCGAGGUCAGGCUGGAUGGGGCUCUGAGCACCUGAUGUAGUGUACGUGUCCCUAUUCAUUGCAGGGAGUUGGAUGAGAUGACCUUUAAGGUUACCUCCCAGCUCAAAUGGUUCUGUCAUUCUAUGUUAAAUAUCUAUUUUGUCAGGCCAGAAGAAAACGUGGAGCUACUACAAGGAAGAGAAAAAUUAAACAAGACAAUGUGCCACAUAUUUCUGCAAGCCACUCCUACUGGAAACCUUACAGAUUUGAUGCUAAAAAUCAACGUAUACAGAAUUAACCUUAUUUUUACAGAACUAAGUAGUUAAUGAGGUCCUGUUGUGUGUCAACAGAUACAUAAGCUCAGCCCUCAGCUGAUCAGGACCAAAGGCAACAUCAGAUGUGGAUGCAGGGAAAGGGGAUGAGACAUGGAGCAGCACCACACAAACUGGUAAUACCAAAAUGAGUUGUCUGAAUUUUUAACUUUGAUUUUUUUUUUUUUUUUGCUUUAAUAUUUUUUAACUAAAGGCAGAGAGAAGACUUCUAAGUCUGCUAACAAAGCACACUGCCAUGAAGCCUUUCCUAUUUUAGCCUUCUGUCCAAAUCUCAAAUUCAUUUCAUUUUUUUUUUCUAAACAAAACACUUAAUUUUUUCUCCUUUGAUUUCCCUGUUUGAAGAACUCAAAUUUCAGCCUGCUUGUCUGAUAACAGGACAAAUGAAGGAGAACACCAGCAGCCCAAUUUCUGCCUGGAACAGCAGGAGGCACAUGCUGAAGCUGUUAGCCUCAGCUCAGCAAGACACGUGCCAGGCAGAUGCCAGCUUCCAUAACCUGCUUUUUGCUGUUCACUUGCCUUCAGUGGUUAUCAGCAAUCACGGACAGGUAAACAGGUGACUUCAUCAUAGCCACAGAAAUUUCAAGAACUUCCGUGAACUUUUGCUAUUGGUAAAAAGUGGAUUCUUUCCAUCCACACCACUGUCAUGACAUCACAUGAAAAAUGACCUCUCAGUUCCAGGAACAGCAGCACCACCGAGGGCCUCGCUGAGGCUGCAGCACACACCCUGCUUGCUUGAGGCAGCCCUUGCUGUGUUUCAGUGCGAGGCAGAGCUCAGUGCUGUGUGCGACCAGCCCCUGUGUACGCACAGGAUCACACAGUGGGGAUGGGGCAGGAGCUGCACCAGAAGGCAGCUGUCCCAAGGGCCUGGCUGCACUAACACAGCAUAGUAUAUAGACUCUGCUUUGUGAGCUAGCACUUGGAGUGCCACAGACUUUUAUACACACUGAUCUCAUAGAUAGUACUGUUAGUUUAGGGCAGUAUGAGAGCAGGGAAACUCUCCUGUUACUUACAUGACACCAUAUGCUGCAGGUCUGGUUCUUGUCUUAUUCAUUCCAAUGAAAGACAGAGGUAACUGCAAGAUACAAGAAACGUUAAUAUAAAAUCGGGUUCAGCCCUUAUUUAAGAGUGUUAAAGCCAUGCCAGGUAAUGCAUUUAUGUUUUAAAGAUGCUCUGAUCCUUCAAGCUGCUGCGGGAAUGACAGCCAUUGCUCACAUCUCCCACCCAGCACACAGGUCUGCCUGCAGCUUGCAGGGUAGAGUCCUUCAAAUACAUGCAGAAAGCCUUAAGUUAUAUAAAAAUGAAGUAUACUGAGUUUUACUUACAUGGAAUAAAUUCUUCCUCUGGAACGUCAAGCUUGGUUUCUGUUUGGUCAAUUAAUUUACUCUAAACAAAUGCCAUGUCUAUAAAAUUUCUAAGUAAUUUGUUUUAUACAGAAAUUUAACUUGCUCCAGGCACAUUUUUCUCCUGCACUGGGUAUCUUAACUCCAGCUGCAAUGUAAACUUGCCUGCAAUUUUCUGUCUCCUAUGGCUGCAGAUCCGUGAGCUCACAGCUGCCCGUGCUCCAUCAUGUUGGGGAAUUAUUGCUGAGCACUGGUUUCAUUCAUUCAAGAAACCUGCCCCUCACUGCAGGCACUGAUCCAGGGCCGGGUGCAAGAAGCUCAUCUUCCCUCCUAACAGGCACAGAGAUCACCAGCCAAGCAACGUUGCUUUCUAUGAUUUUGCUCUCAACUUGCCAACCCUGUAAUUGUAACCCUAUAUAUACGGUCCCUCCCACCUCAGCAGUUCUGCUCACUUAGUCUCCUCCAUUGUGUGUGUGCAGGUAUUUUAUGUGAGACUUAAUUAUUCUUGCUCCUAUCAGCCAAGACAAGCAUGCAUGACAUUAACUCCCUCGUGGGACACAAAAUGGUGCACGCUUCCAGACCAUCUACGUACAGAAAUGGAUAAAGGCUGUAGGAUCUUCUUACAUUAAAAGCAAAUUAAGCAGAGGUGGUUUACUAAGAGGCUUCACUGAGUACUCAGCUCAGUUCUGAGUAUGCCAGAUGAGGAAAUGGGGGAAAAAAAAAAAAAAGAUAAUUACUAUGGGAAGAUUCUCAUGUGAGCAGAAUUUGAAAAUAAUGAGAUUACGUCAUUGUUUCUGACUAUUCUUACAGCGUGUAAUAUAUAAACUAAAAGAGGAGAGAUUUAGACUGGAUAUAAAGGAAGAAGCACGGGGUGCCCAGAGGUGAAGUGGAUGCCCCAUCCUUGGAGCACUCAAGGUGAGGCUGGAUGGGGCUCUGAGCACCUGAUUAGUGCUGGCAUCCCCGUUCAGUGCAGGGAGUUGGAAGAGAUGACCUCUAAAGGUCCCUGCCAACAUAAAUGAUUCUAUGAUUCCUUAUCUGACCCAGGCUCAGCCAAUUUACCAGAGGGCUACAGCCACAAAGCCCACACAGCCAGCACCUGCACUUCCCCUUUCCAAGGGAUUCAAAAACACCGAACAGGCAAAUUUAAAAUAAGAAACGUGCAGAUGUGCUGUUUUAAUCCUGGGUUUGCUUUCCUCUGUCAUCACUGACAGCCAGGUCAAGGGGAAAGUUUCCCUGACAGAGGUUUGUUGGCUGGGCUCCACCGCAGUGCUGCGUGCAGUGCAGGCUGCCCAUAGGGCAAUGGAGCAACAAAUGUGAUGCAGUCGAGCAGUCGCUACGUGCCUUGGCCCAGCCCUCCAGGAGGGAAAGCAGGAGGGACUCGCUGACCUCUCAGAGGACAAAAGGAGCAAGAGAAAGGAUCGCUUUGUUAUGCCUGAAUCCUUACUAUGCUUCUGCCUCCCAGGAGCCCGUCUGUGUGCUGAGAUGGGCAGAACUUUGUUGGGUGGAAGGAUGCAGUGUGGGCAACGGAGGGAGCCAGGACGGAGCAACCAGAGCCUGUAAGUCAGGGGCGACACACUGAUGGAUAAAAACUACCAGAUGGAGCCCAAGGAGCACAGCUCCACCGUUCAUCUUAAGGAUACAGCAGUCUGAAUUUCAGUUGGGCAGUGAGAUACUCCUGGGCCUGCAGAGCUCCCUGUGUGAAACACCUGGGCCACGGUUUGAAUCGGUCACAGUGCCACGUCCAGCAGCCGUACGCUGUACUCAGCCCUGUGUGGGGUACAGCAUAACUGCAGGCCAUCCCUGGGACGGCGCUCAUCAGUAACUGCUGGCUGCUCCCAGAGGCAUGGAUCAAUUGGCAGAUAUUAUAAUCCCUUAAAAUAUUAAUGCCCUAUCAGGGAGACAAUUUCACUGGGCCUGGAGACUCUUCCGUUAUUAGAAAUUAUGCCCCAGCCUUAAAUAAAUUAACUCAAUAAAUGUCUUAGCAUGAAUACAAAUUCCUGCUUAGGGCCUGCAAAUAAAAUGAUUUAGAGCUGUUCUCCGAGGAAAGAUGAGGUGCUUAAACUUGCAAAAGAAGAAGAGCCACCACAUUCAUUGGUCUUUUGUUCUAAAUUGACUUCUCCUAAACUGACGGCAUUCCUUUCAGAAGGGAGGGCGAAGGUUUGGGAAAAUUAAGUGGUGACAUUUUCUUACGCUGUGCUUCAUGGCUUCGGUGCUGAAGUGCACAGAUGUGCUCCCAGCUCCAAUGGCAGCCCUGGCACUCAGGAUCCAUCCGUGUCCCCAGGGCUGGAGGGAAGCUCACCACCCACCCUUGGGCAGUGUGUGCCCACAGCUGGGAGGACCUGCCUGGUGCAGUAGCUCUGUGCAAGCCUCAGCCUGCAGCCCUCAACAGCCACAGUUCAUGGGGUGCCCACUAACAACCUCUGCAGUUAAUGAAGCCUCAGCAGGUGGUUGCAGUUUCAACAAGUGAUGAGGCAUAUCCAGGCCCAUUCAUCAUCCCAGGCCUCCCGUCAAAGCGUUUGCCCUCUUCAUAUUGAUGAAUUGAAUGUGGCAACGUGAAAGCCACGCUGUCACAUUUCAUUAGAGCUAUACUUUGCACCCAGUAGUUCAAGACUACUUCUACAGCUCUGCACUUUUACCAGUUUGAGUGUGAGAUCACCAGCAGCAGAGGAGCACCUUGGCUGGCCCUGAGACACGCUCACAUCACCUGCAUUUCUGGCUGUGGACUUUCAUAGAAGCUUCAUUCACAAACACACUGCCAUUCCUCUCCAUAAACAUACUCUAUAAACACACCCCUUCAGAAGCUGAUUUUCUCAAGUGAGCACUGCCUGCUUUGCUCUAUUGGCACUGCAGUCCUGGGCAGCUCAUCCACGAUGCCAGGAGAUGCACACUGGGUUGUCUGCCUCCUGCCUGCUGCUGGAUGUCACUGCCCACCUGUGACACGCAGAGAGCCUGCAGCAGGAAGGCAGAGCUGCACUGCACUACAGUAGGAGACCAUCACAGCAACGCUUCCCAAAAGGCAAUGCCUGAGCUCAGGAUCCAGUGUACACACCACAUCCUAAGACAAGGCAGUGAAUGGAUGCAACCUGCAGAUAACAAUCUCCAGGUUUAUCUCCUCUGCAAUAUUUCUGUCUGUGCACUGGUAUCAGUUUGAUGAGACUCUGGUUUUUAAUAACCAAAGCAUUGUUGUUUCCUGGUUAAGAGCUCAUGUGGCAGCUCCUUGGUCCUGGCUUAACAAGAGUGGAGCACCUUUUGUAGAUGGAUGCAUUAUUUCCAUUUCUUACUUUUCAAUUCAUACAUAGUAAAAAUACAAGAAAACCUCAGUCCUCUGCUGCAAGACACACAAUAAAGAUGCAAGUCUAGAUGAAAAAAUAGCCACAUUCCACUUGACUGAAUCAAAAGAUUUGUGAAAGAGACCACAGGUUCAACUUCCUCUUGUCUCAGAUAAAGACAAAUUCCAUCAGAAGCCAACCUCAGAGCCACUUCACAUACAGGAAACUCUAUAAGAGGAUCAAAGAGAUCACCUUGGCAGCAGCUUUCUCCUGAGUGUUCCCUCUUCACUGCAUUGACUUUACAUCUGUACCUGUUGCACUCCCACCCGAUGCAGCGCUGUGGUGCUGUGCUGGUGGUAGAACCACUCCCCAGCAGCAGAACGUGCUGCAGCUUCUACCUGCAGCAUCUGAAAUUGCUUCUUAGCACACUCGAUGCUUUGGAUAAAUGCAACCCAUGCUUAGUGAAGUGAGAAACUGAGAAAAAGGGAAGCGUGUGGGCAGGGAGAGGCAUGCAGACUAUUCCCUCCCUCACCAAGUGCCCCUCACCCAGCACUGGAUGCCCACUGCUGUACCUGUGCUACCACGGAGCCCUCAAGCACCCACCAGCAUCCAUAGACACCACCAAGUCCCACAAGUUGCUCCCAGAUCAGAAGCCUCUGUGAGCCUUUCCCUGAGAAGCUGCAGCUGCCUCCAGUGUGGGAUGUGCCAUGUGGCAGCCCACGUGGGAUACCACCAAGGAACAGCGCUGGAUGUGGUUUGGAAUGCUUUUGAACAGCAUAAAGGAACAAAGCCUUGUUCUCUUCCACGGUGGGAGUUUUAAGAUGAAACCAGAAUGCCAAAAUACUUGGAUGAACGCAUUAAAUGAACACACAGAUGAUUUGUGCUUCCUCCCUCCAAACAUGGCUGCACUCAGCAGCAGGACUCCCCCUGCAGCAGGAACACAGCACCUCAGAGCCAAGGUGAGAUCUUUUUGUACUUAAUUUCAUCCCUGUUAAAGAGAGCUGAUAUGCACAAAUCUGGUGCUUUGCUGCUGGUUAUAAUACUCUCUGUAUUAUUAUUUUCACCAUUCAAAAACGAUAAUUCUUCCUCUAGGUUACUUUUGAGCAGAGGAAUUCUGGAUAAUGGAAGAUGUUAGAUCCCCAUAAUCCAUGUGCAAUAUGAAGGCAGCAAUGUGUGCUACCAGCAGACAAGUAGAAGAGCUAAUACACAGAAUCAUGGAAUGGC